UCUAAUGUGGCAGAGUAAUGCAAUGAAUUUAAGAUUCAUAAAUAAAGAACUUUCUUUCUUUAGAA
rnacentral:tRNA from 1 species